UGUGGGGUUUUUUGUUUUUGGGUUUUUUUUUUUAACACUUCUGUGUGUCACAUGUUCUGUCGUUCCUUUGUUGGAUUUUUUUUUUAUUGUUGUUUGAGUUUUCUCACGUGAGUGUAACAGUCAGAAUGUAACAGUCAGUAGUUUGUCUUGUUACGCUUCAUUUGGAACAACAGCAGGAUAGAUGUGGCAUGCUGUGAUUGGCUAGUACACUCUGCCUUCAUUGGCUAGUCAGUUGAUGUCCUUGGUCAUCCUUCCUCCUCUUUCCUGUAAAAGCUUAUCCUUUCGAUCUGGAUCCAAACACAGCACGUCCUGGUAAAGACCUGAGCUGCCUGGAGACAGGAGCAGAAGUGGAGACCAGAGUGCUGCAGAUCCUGCCCUGCUCUCAAACUUCCAGCUGAACUGUGGGACUAUUCCACAACAGUUAAUGGGCUGUUGAAGUACCAUCAGAGUGAUAAGCUCAAAGGCUACGUCUGAAUGUAUUCACAGUUCAACACUGCAACACGCAGCAAAGUGGUCCAGUCUUCUAACCCAGACUUUGUGUACGAGGUCAAAGGUGAAGUCAGAUUUACA